CAGCCGCCGCGGGAAUACGUAGGGUGCAAGCGUUAAUCGGAAUUACUGGGCGUAAAGCGUGCGCAGGCGGUUUGUUAAGACAGAUGUGAAAUCCCCGGGCUCAACCUGGGAACUGCAUUUGUGACUGGCAAGCUAGAGUCUGGCAGAGGGGGGUGGAAUUCCGCGUGUAGCAGUGAAAUGCGUAGAUAUGCGGAGGAACACCGAUGGCGAAGGCAGCCCCCUGGGCCAACACUGACGCUCAUGCACGAAAGCGUGGGGAGCAAACAGGAUUAGAUACCCGGGUAGUCCCUGUCUCUUAUAC
rnacentral:rRNA from 1 species